rnacentral:rRNA from 1 species
CAGUCGCCACGGUAAUACGAAGGGUGCAAGCGUUACUCGGAAUUACUGGGCGUAAAGCGUGCGUAGGUGGUGGUUUAAGUCCGUUGUGAAAGCCCUGGGCUCAACCUGGGAAUUGCAGUGGAUACUGGGUCACUAGAGUGUGGUAGAGGAUAGUGGAAUUUCCGGUGUAGCAGUGAAAUGCGUAGAGAUCGGAAGGAACAUCUGUGGCGAAGGCGACUAUCUGGGCCAACACUGACACUGAGGCACGAAAGCGUGGGGAGCAAACAGGAUUAGAUACCCGCGUAGUCCCUGUCUCUUAUAA